rnacentral:rRNA from 1 species
UACGUAGGGGGCGAGCGUUGUCCGGAUUUACUGGGCGUAAAGAGCGCGCAGGCGGUCGUGCAAGUCGCGUGUGAAAGCCCCCGGCUCAACUGGGGAGGGUCACGCGAUACUGCUCGACUCGAAGGCAGGAGAGGGAAGUGGAAUUCCCGGUGUAGUGGUGAAAUGCGUAGAUAUCGGGAGGAGCACCAGUGGCGAAGGCGACUUCCUGGCCUGUUCUUGACGCUGAGGCGCGAAAGCUAGGGUAGCAAACGGG